rnacentral:rRNA from 2 species
ACUUGAUCUGAAAUCAGGCGGGAUUACCCGCUGAACUUAA